rnacentral:tRNA from 1 species
GGUAGGGUGGCUGAAGAUAAGCGAUGGAUUGUAAAUCCACAAAUGAGGGUUAGAUUCCCUUCCAUACCA